UACGGUGGUGGCGGUGACACAAUGCGAGUGAGUGGGGUGUAGCCGAGGUGGCAGCGCAGGGCAGCAGCAGACUCCGCCCCUACUAAAGAAUUCAAGAAGACGUUCUCUUUCCUCAGCGCUUUGUUAAACAAAUUCUUGGAGAGGGCGAGAGUGGUGACUAAAGAGAGGAGCCUUUCCUCCCCUUUUGCCUGCGCUCCGGCGCGCGGAGGCGCACUGUGUACAAACAGAGGCGGCGUGCGUGGGCUCAUCUGUUCACGGGGGCAAAAGGGUGGAAGUGAGUAGGAGACAUGCAUCUCGUUAAGCAGGACAUCUGUUUCAGAGAAGAAGUGGGGCAAGUUUGGGAACUGUGCAAGAACAUAAAGGCAAAGACAGACCCUUGAAGCAUCACUAAGGUGGAUCAAAUUUUCUUUCUAUCCGCCAAAAUAAAUGGACUGGUUUUUGCAGUGGAAGUGAUUGAACCAAAAAUACAGCUCAUGGCUUACAAUUGUGCUUUCUUCUCUGUUUUUCGGUUAGAAUGAUUGCUUAUUGUACAUGGAUCCAAUUCCAGCAGUUACAGGGAGGGAGGUAGGGAGAGAGACAAACACAGAGCUAGAGAAAUUGAAAGAGAAACAUUCUCGAAGGCAAAGAGUUGAAAGGUGAAUCUACUAAGAAAAGAAUAACAGAGUGCAAUUAGCCAUGGAACUACAUCUCCAUCUGCCUCCUUUAAAGGAUGAGUCCUUUAAAGGGCCUUUGGAAGGAAUUGGGCCAUGAGAAGAGCCCUCAUGAAUGGGAUUAGUUCCCUUAUAAGAAGAGACACCAAGGAAGUGAUCUUUCUCUGCCCUCUGCUAUGUGAAGACAAGGUAAGAAGACAGCUAUGAACCAAGAAGCAGGCCCUUACCAGACACCAAAUCUGCUGGUGCAUUGAUCUUGGACUUCUCAGCCUCCAGGACUGUGAGAAAUAAAUGUUUAUUGUUGAAGCCACCCAGUCUACAGUAAUUUGUUAUAGCAGCUGAAAUUGACUAAGACAAUUUAAAAAAAUUAAUCUCAUUGACUAUCAAUUUGGAUUCUGGAGCAUACCUGGAUUCAGGUCAUCUGCAGUUUUUUGUUGUUGUUGAUGAUCUUCCUGUCAUAGACAAUGCUGUAACAAACAGACUAGCCACAGGUUUUCUACUUUUUUGAGCUAAAUCGUGAUGAAGCAGAUGAUAAUCUGAGGCUCGCCUGCUAUAUUGUGAAAAUCCCUCUGUGCUUGUAAUAAAGGCUUCAUCUCCACAAGACCUAAAGUUGUUCACUGUUGACAUAUAGAAGUACUACUGAUUGGCAGAUAAUAAGCUCACUUUACCUCAGGACCUUUGCAGCAGCUCUGCCCUGUGCUUAGAUUGAUCUGUCACGAAACCUUAAAGUCUGGCUGAUUCUCAUUCUUCAGAUUC
rnacentral:lncRNA from 1 species